UAAUUAAUUUUACAUAUUUUUCAAAGAAUUCAGCAACUCCUUAUUUAAGUCGCCAUGACAUGUAUGUUUACGUACAUUUUUCAAUGUGAUCCAAGACAUAUGAUGCUGAUGCAGCCUAUCAGAGGAUGAAGAGUAAAGGGGUGUUUAGGGGACUAACCUCUAGCUAAUAGUCCUACCUAAUUUUUGAGUUCCCAAUGAGCCAUCAAGAUUGCAGACAAGUUUUGUUGAAUGUAUUUUUCUAUAGAAUUGUUUAGUAAAUAAAACACAUGACUUAACAAAUCUUGUAUCUUAUUUAGGUCUCAUCAGACAGUUGUUUAAAAAGAAUAAGAUGAUGUCAAUACAUUACCAACAGUAUCACUUUAUACAUUCAUAUUUCAUGAUACAUUAAACAAAAUAGACAUAGGC